GAUGAACGCUGGCGGCGUGCCUAAUACAUGCAAGUCGAGCGAACAGAUAAGGAGCUUGCUCCUUUGACGUUAGCGGCGGACGGGUGAGUAACACGUGGGUAACCUACCUAUAAGACUGGGAUAACUUCGGGAAACCGGAGCUAAUACCGGAUAACAUUUGGAACCGCAUGGUUCUAAAGUGAAAGAUGGUUUUGCUAUCACUUAUAGAUGGACCCGCGCCGUAUUAGCUAGUUGGUAAGGUAACGGCUUACCAAGGCGACGAUACGUAGCCGACCUGAGAGGGUGAUCGGCCACACUGGAACUGAGACACGGUCCAGACUCCUACGGGAGGCAGCAGUAGGGAAUCUUCCGCAAUAGGCGAAAGCCUGACGGAGCAACGCCGCGUGAGUGAUGAAGGGUUUCGGUUCGUAAAACUCUGUUAUUAGGGAAGAACAAAUGUGUAAGUAACUGUGCACGUCUUGACGGUACCUAAUCAGAAAGCCACGGCUAACUACGUG
rnacentral:rRNA from 1 species